UGGGGAAUUUUGGACAAUGGGGGAAACCCUGAUCAAGCCAUCCCGCGUGUGCGAUGAAGGCCUUCGGGUUGUAAAGCACUUUUGUCAGGAAAGAAACGUCAUGGGUUAAUACCCCGUGAAACUGACGGUACCUGCAGAAUAAGCACCGGCUAACUACGUGCCAGCAGCCGCGGUACUACGUAGGGUGCAAGCGUUAAUCGGAAUUACUGGGCGUAAAGCGUGCGCAGGCGGUUCGGAGAGAAAGAUGUGAAAUCCCAGAGCACAACUUUGGAACUGCAUUUUUAACUACCGGGCUAGGGUGUGUCAGAGGGAGGUGGAAAGCCGCGUGUAGCAGUGAAAUGCGUAGAUAUGCGGAGGAACACCGAUGGCGAAGGCAGCCUCCUGGGAUAACACUGACGCUCAUGCACGAAAGCGUGGGGAGCAAACAGG
rnacentral:rRNA from 1 species